GACAGCGGCGAUAGCACGCUCAAUACACCAUUUUCCAAUUAUCACCGAAGUUAAGGAACAUUGCGCGUGGUUAGUAUCCGGAUGGGUGACCAUCUGGGCAAUCGCGUGCUGGUUUUC
rnacentral:rRNA from 1 species